ensembl:lncRNA
GGACGUUUCUGUUUGUCCUCCAAGGUCCUCAUAAACUAUGUAACCGAGUAGAGAGGAAUCAGAUAUACCCACUGAGCGGCGCUAUAGCCCAUGAAAAUGAUGUUUGUUAGAGAGCGCGCGGGAAAGAUCCAAGGUGACAGGAGAGCGAGGCACUUCACUGCUGCCACAGAUAAAGAACUGCAUCUGCCACCCCAUGAAAUUCAGCCAAAGAGAAAGAAGAGAUAUAAAGGGUGUGGUGUUGCCUCUUUAUGUUGAGAGCAGCAAACGUGAUGACUCCCAGACGGGGAGACAUGGCAAACCCUAAUAAUACCAACCCAUACAAUGGCUCUGACAGCCCGGCUAUAAAGCAAUCAGGGUCCCAGGCAUUCCAAAUCUCUUUAACGCCCACCCUACAGCAGUCUGGAAGAUGGGUGGCUGACCUGAGAGCUGUCAAUCACGCUGCUGUACCUGCUGGAGCUUGGGCAGAGUAGAGCCGGGAGCAUGCGGUCCAUCAGAUCUGUUUUCACACUCCCCACACUAUCACUGCAAGCGUAACCAAAAAGACAAAAAACGCCCCACUGCCCUACUCUUAAUUAGGGAGUGUGGAUAAGACUGAGGUUUGUUUGGUUUUAAAUGGAGAAUGGGAGGGCAAAACAUACAGGGGAGCGCCGAAUCCCAUGGAG